UGGUCUGGAGUCAACACCAUGGCGUGGGCCCCGCUCCUCCUCACUCUGUUCACAUGCUGCACAGGUUCUCUUGCCCAGGAUGUGCCGAAACAACCGCCUUCAGUGUCUGUGUCUCCAGGACAAACUGCUAAACUCACCUGCACGGGAGAGAACUUUGAUAGCAAUGCAGUGAGCUGGUACCAACAGAAACCUGGCAGUGCCCCUCUGCUCCUCAUAUAUGCUGAUGAUAUCACAGCUGAUGGAAUCCCAGAGCGAUUCUCUGGUGCCAAGUCUGGGAACACGGCCACACUGACCAUCACUGGAGUCCAAGCCCAGGACGAGGCUGACUAUUACUGUGCAGCUUAUGCUAUUGGCAGUGAUGCACCUCACAGUGACACAUUGCAAUGGGGAAGUUCUCUUGCCCAGGAUGUGCCGAGACAAUCGCCUUCAGUGUCUGUGUCUCCAGGACAAACUGCUAAGCUAACCUGCACGGGAGAGAAUUUUGAUAGCAAGUUAAUGAGCUGGUACCAACAGAAACCUGGCAGUGCCCCGCUGCUCCUCAUAUAUGAGGAUGAUAGCAGAGCUGAUGAAAUCCCAGAGCGAUUCUCUGGUGCCAAGUCUGGGAACACGGCCACACUGACCAUCACUGGAGUCCAAGCCCAGGACGAGGCUGAUUAUUACUGUGCAGCUUAUGAUAUGGACAGCAACACUUCUCACAGUGACACAGUGUGA